UUCGAUUCCAGGUUCCAUACCUCCAAAUUUCUUCAGUAAAGAAUUUGGAGGUAUGACUGUGUGGUGAAGAACAUCAUUGGCUCAACUUCCACUUGUUGAACCAAUUCUGUUCACCACAUAGCCAUACCUUCAAAUUCAAAGUCAACCCACUACAUGUAUAAGCAUUCUGCCAAGAAUGCUGGAAUACCUCCACUAUUUAAUUACAUUUAUCAGAAAAACAAGAAAAGAAACCUCAUUAGAGGCUGGGUGGUCUAUGAAGGGCAUUUAAUAAAUGGCUUGCUCAUUAGUAUCCAGUAUAGUGGUCCACCACUAUACUGGAUACUAAUGAAUAAGCCAUUUAUAAGAAAGAUACUGGAGGAUAUUAAUGAGCAAGCCAUUCAUAAAAAAGAUACUGAAGGAUAUUAAUGUGCAAGCCAUAUAUACUGGAUACGAAAGAGCAAGCUAUUCAUAAAAAAGAUAUUGAAGGACACUUGGAAAACCUUCAAUAUCCUGUAUGCAGCAAAGAUUAUAGGUGAUUGGUGAACAGAUGUUGCUGACAAAACAAUAAAGAACAUCUGGAAGAAAGUUUGCCUUUUCUUCAUAGCUUAUUUAAGAUUCAGAUACUAUUACUAAAGGUGAUUCUCU
rnacentral:lncRNA from 1 species